CCCUUAGAUGUUCUGGGCUGCACGCGUGCUACACUGAUUAUUUCAACAAGUGUUUUAACUGGAGAGUUCGCGUAAUCCUGAAAUGUUAUCGUGAUGGGAGUAGAGUAUUGUAUUUGUUAAUCUUUAACGAGGAAUUCCUAGCAAGUGUAGGUUUAUAAGUUGUUCUGAUUACGUCCCUGCCCUUUGUACACACCGCCCGUCGCUCCUACCGAUUGAAUGUGUUGGUGAGGAGCUCGGAUUGGCAGCAGUUGGUGGUUCGCCACCGGCUAUUGCUGAGAAGUCCUCCAAACCGCCCCAUUUAGAGGAAGGAGAAGUCGUAACA
rnacentral:rRNA from 1 species